GACGAACGCUGGCGGCGUGCUUAACACAUGCAAGUCGUACGGUAAGGCCCUUUCGGGGGUACACGAGUGGCGAACGGGUGAGUAACACGUGAGUAACCUGCCCACAACUUUGGGAUAACGCUAGGAAACUGGUGCUAAUACUGGAUAUGUGCUCCUGCUGCAUGGUGGGGGUUGGAAAGCUCCGGCGGUUGUGGAUGGACUCGCGGCCUAUCAGCUUGUUGGUGGGGUAGUGGCCUACCAAGGCGGCGACGGGUAGCCGGCCUGAGAGGGUGACCGGCCACAUUGGGACUGAGAUACGGCCCAGACUGCUACGGGAGGCAGCAGUGGGGAAUAUUGCACAAUGGGCGCAAGCCUGAUGCAGAAACGCCGCGUGCGGGAUGACGGCCUUCGGGUUGUAAAACGCUUUCAGCAGGGACGAAGCUUUUUGUGACGGUACCUGCAGAAGAAGCACCGGCUAACUACGUG
rnacentral:rRNA from 1 species